rnacentral:siRNA from 1 species
CCACUACACACCACUACCAUGAG